AACGCACAUUGCGCCUUAUGGCUAUUCCAUAAGGCAUGCCUGUCUGAGCGUCAGUAAAAGUCCUCAAGUAGUUGACUGCUCUUUGUUGCUAUCAUCUAUCUUGGAUUUUAUCAAGAAAGUGAAUUUUUUUUUUUUAAAUAAAGAAAAAUGUUUGCUUCUUGGAAAACAACAGAUGGUCAAAAGGUUUUCUUUUACCAAAUGUUAUAAGAUUAUAAUUUCGAAUUCAUUUGGAAAUGUUGGAAAACCUCUUUUGAUAAUCUGAGAACUCACAAAAGAACAAAGGAGAAAGAUUUUCUUCUGUUCUGACUUGACCUCAGAUCAGGUAGGAGUACCCGCUGAACUUAA
rnacentral:misc_RNA from 1 species